rnacentral:rRNA from 1 species
UUCCAGACUCCUACGGGAGGCAGCAGUGGGGAAUAUUGCACAAUGGGGGAAACCCUGAUGCAGCGACGCCGCGUGAGUGAAGAAGUAUUUCGGUAUGUAAAGCUCUAUCAGCAGGGAAGAUAAUGACGGUACCUGACUAAGAAGCCCCGGCUAACUACGUGCCAGCAGCCGCGGUAAUACGGAGGAUGCGAGCGUUAUCCGGAUUUAUUGGGUUUAAAGGGUGCGCAGGCGGUCUGUUAAGUCAGCGGUCAGCCCCGGGGGCCCACCCCCGGCCCGCCGUUGAAACUGGCAGUCUCGAGUUGGAGAGAAGUAUGCGGAAUGCGCGGUGUAGCGGUGAAAUGCAUAGAUAUCGCGCAGAACUCCGAUUGCGAAGGCAGCAUGCCGGCUCCACACUGACGCUGAGGCACGAAAGCGUGGGUAUCGAACAGGAUUAGAUACCCUUGUCAGC